AAAGCUUUGCUUGAUGAUGACCUCACCAAUGACAUCGCCUGCCUGAAGACCCUGAUAACCAGCAUGAAAGCCAAAGGCAAUCCUAACAGUCUUAAGAUUGCGAAUAUGCUGUUGGUGAAGGAGUGUCGCUCUGUCGUUCCCUCUAAGAUAUUCGCAAACUGUGCCUAAAACGGAUGAUCAGACUGACUUCGACUGAGUUAAUCUCAAACACAGCAGUCUGAUGUUUUCAUUGGCCUUUGACUGAAUGCUAAUGAGGUCAUUAUGAUGGUGGCGGGAACUUUGAACAACUAGUAAUAGAGGAAGUUUGUACACGCUUUAGUUUGAUGCUGUAAUACUGUUUCAGUAGAAAUAUUAGAACUAAUUCUGUUUUAAACUUCUGUCAUACUGUAUGCCACUGUG